UACGUAGGGUGCGAGCGUUAAUCGGAAUUACUGGGCGUAAAGCGUGCGCAGGCGGUUUUUCAAGUCUGAUGUGAAAGCCCCGGGCUUAACCUGGGAACUGCAUUUGAUACUGGCAGACUAGAGUAUGGUAGAGGGGGGUAGAAUUCCUGGUGUAGCGGUGAAAUGCGUAGAUAUCAGGAGGAAUACCAGUGGCGAAGGCGACCCCCUGGGCCAAUACUGACGCUGAGGUACGAAAGCGUGGGUAGCGAACAGG
rnacentral:rRNA from 1 species